rnacentral:rRNA from 1 species
CCUACGGGGGGCAGCAGUGGGGGAUAUUGCACAAUGGGGGGAACCCUGAUGCAGCGACGCCGCGUGGGUGAAGAAGCGCCUCGGCGCGUAAAGCCCUGUCAGCAGGGAAGAAAAUGACGGUACCUGAAGAAGAAGCACCGGCUAACUACGUGCCAGCAGCCGCGGUAAUACGUAGGGGGCAAGCGUUAUCCGGAUUUACUGGGUGUAAAGGGGGCGCAGACGGCGAUGCAAGCCAGGAGUGAAAGCCCGGGGCUCAACCCCGGGACUGCUCUUGGAACUGCGUGGCUGGAGUGCAGGAGGGGCAGGCGGAAUUGCUGGUGUAGCGGUGAAAUGCGUAGAUAUCAGGAGGAACACCGGUGGCGAAGGCGGCCUGCUGGACUGCAACUGACGUUGAGGCCCGAAAGCGUGGGGAGCAAACAGGAUUAGAUACCCCAGUAGUC